UGAGUGUUCUGUGGAAGGCAAUGUCUUCAAUGCAGGAUUGGGAAAUGGUAUCUCAGAAAAGAGAUCCAGGAGGAUUAAGUCGUUCACAUCCAGAGCCGAGGAGCAUGGCUGCAGGCCGGGAUGAAAACUGAAACAAGAAGCUGAGAGCUGAGGGCUCUAAUCUUGGACAGCAAACAUGAAGCAGAGAGACAGAGAGAGUGCACUGGAAAUGGCUCAAGGCUUCUGAAACCCUAAAUCCCAACCAGUGACACAUGUCCUCAAGGAAUAGGUCGCUGUCAGAGUUCCUGAUCACAGUCAAGAGUUCCUGAUUGUGGCCAGCCAAUGAGGGAAGACCUCACAAUGCCCGCAGGUUGGGACACAGUUUGGGUGCUGUGAGGAGGGUAUGCAAGGCCUUCCCCAUUAUUGAAUAAAGGAGUUUGUUGUUUACAUUCAA